rnacentral:rRNA from 1 species
UCCCAGUUCGGAUUGUAGUCUGCAACCCGACUACAUGAAGCCGGAAUCGCUAGUAAUCGCGGAUCAGAAUGCCGCGGUGAAUACGUUCCCGGGUCUUGUACACACCGCCCGUCACACCAUGGGAGUUGGAAAUGCCCGAAGUCAGUGGCCCAACCGGAAGGGGGGAGCUGCCGAAGGCAGGUUCGAUGACUGGGGUGAAGUCGUAACAAGGUAAC